GUGUUGUAUGAAAGGAGAGAAGGUUAGCACUCCCCUUGACAAGGGUGGAAGAGGCCUUCGGGUCUAACAACACGCAUACGGUUAAAGUACUUGAGAAAAUUUAGUUCAAUCCUUUCUACUUAAGUAG
rnacentral:ncRNA from 1 species